GGCUUUCUUCGCGCGGGAGCUCGACCCGCGACUGCCGAGAUGACCGGGUUCGUCGACGCCCACCGCGACCAGUUCGGGGUCGAGCCGAUCUGCAAUGAGCUGCAGUUCGCCCCG
rfam:Streptomyces agglomeratus strain 6-3-2 2, whole genome shotgun sequence.